AUGAACGCUAGCUACAGGCUUAACACAUGCAAGUCGAGGGGCAGCAUGGUCUUAGCUUGCUAAGGCCGAUGGCGACCGGCGCACGGGUGAGUAACACGUAUCCAGCCUGCCGUCUACUCUUGGACAGCCUUCUGAAAGGAAGAUUAAUACAAGAUGGCAUCAUGAGUCCGCAUGUUCACAUGAUUAAAGGUAUUCCGGUAGACGAUGGGGAUGCGUUCCAUUAGAUAGUAGGCGGGGUAACGGCCCACCUAGUCUUCGAUGGAUAGGGGUUCUGAGAGGAAGGUCCCCCACAUUGGAACUGAGACACGGUCCAAACUCCUACGGGAGGCAGCAGUGAGGAAUAUUGGUCAAUGGGCGAGAGCCUGAACCAGCCAAGUAGCGUGAAGGAUGACUGCCCUAUGGGUUGUAAACUUCUUUUAUAAAGGAAUAAAGUCGGGUAUGGAUACCCGUUUGCAUGUACUUUAUGAAUAAGGAUCGGCUAACUCCGUG
rnacentral:rRNA from 1 species